UUUAGAUUUUCAUAGCAUCUUAAAGUUUCUGCAGACAAGUCUUGAAAAAUACUGACUGGACUGGUUUUUGAAGGUAAUUUGUUUCAUCCUAUGUAAUCAUGCAUAAUUUGCUUCCUUUUGUGCCAAGAAAGUAAUGGUCUAUCAUGUGUUUUGAUUUGGCUCUUGCUGAAAACUUUUGGUGCAAAUGCUCUCUGCGUCCAUGCGAAGUUGACUUCAGAAAUAAGGCGGAAAUACAACUAAGAGCCAUGGUAUUAAGAAACGCAGCAUAGGAUCUUCUUCCACUGACAGAAGAAUCCCAUAAAACACCAGGUUCAGAUUUGAAAGUUCAGAUUGUAGGUCUCUAGCAACUUGCUUCAUGCUUCUGACCCGUUUCUAUCACUGCAUUACACAGAGAGAUCAGAUAGAUUAUUCAAAACCUCAGGAUUUUUUCCUCUGUCUUUUUUCUUCUGUAGCUCUGAUUAAAUCCACCGUAGGUGCUGGCCAUGAUUCUCUGUUGUAUCACAUUCUUUUAGCUUUUGUCUACGAGUUAGGCUUUGUGUUUUAUCUGAGAGAUUCUGUUAGAAUAAUAAAGGUAUUAUUGUGAUGUUGGGACUCAAUAUUCUGUUCCUUCUUUUCACAGGAAAUGUUCAGCAAUUCACAGAUUGAUUGAUUUUGCUGUUUAUUGUGUUUUCUACCACUGAUAAUCUAAUAGAAGCUCAGAGUUUUUGGGAUACACUGCUAUCUUUUGAGGGGUGUGGGUUAGGAACACCUACAACAACCAGGAGGGAGGGUCCCAGUACUUCCUCGCUACAUGUUGUCAGCGUCAAUAAUUGCUUCCAAGCCCAGAAAAGACGGUUGCAAGAAUGAAGUCAGAUGAGAAUGUGAGUAUAUACAAAGUUCUGGAAUCAGAAGCAAGUGUAUUGGUAACCAUGGCAACACAAACAUAGAGGGCUAUCGCAAAGGGUGGUGAUUAGAAUCCAGCUUAUAACUGAAGGAGAUUUCUCAAGUGAUGGAGGCAGAGAUUCUGCAAACUUCACAAUUACAGGAGGUUUUAUUUCCCCAAGCUCCAUGUUGCUUUGCUCAAGCAAAAGUACUUUUUUUUGGGGGGGGGCAGAAAAAGUCUCACCGAGUUCUGAUGUUUAUGAGCAAAGUAGCAUGGAAAGUAUCAUAUACACUAUGGGUAAGCCCUGGGGAAAAUAGUUUCCUGAUCCCGUCUCUUAGUUAUCUAUCUGGAAUUUUCAUCUUUCAAACAUGGGCUAAGUAGACAUGGUAACACAUUCAUUGAUUUACGUGCACGGAAUCCAACUCUGAUUGGAAAAUAUAGUUAACAGAUGUGGUUAUGUGACAUUUUCUGCUGGGAGGGAGUCACCUCUUUUUCACACAAGUAGGGCUAAUGCACAUCUCACCCUCUAGCCUUCUAUUUUCAAGGGAUCCCUACACACUUAUUUCCUCUUAUUAUAUAGAAUUCAGAUUAUGAAAAAAACUACAGAAUUACAC